rnacentral:lncRNA from 1 species
UUUUUUUUAGCAGUUGAGAUUAGUGAAUCCAGAAGGUUUGCUUACUGUCCAAGGAAUGACUCUACUGAUCCAGAAGCCUUAGUAAAAACUGUUAUUCUCUGUUGAGUAAACAGCAUCUUAUCAUGACACUGACUCACUUGAGUAAGUCAAUUCAGGGCUGCACAACACAAAUGACUUUUAAGAACAAUAUUUUUAAAGUCAGAAAUAAAAAUCAUCAAAUAGCAUAAAAAUGAUAAAAUAGAGAUUAUAAGCUUUGAUUCCAUAAUUAUAUCAAAUACCUUAAGUACUAAGGCUAGAGGGAGGAGGAACCAGAGAGUGAAGAGAAGGGGAAGGGGAAGACCAGACUUGAGGGCAGAAGACACAGAGGGCUCCCGGGACAGAGAAGCCAGACACACAGAGAGAGAGACAAAGGAGGAGAAGAAACAGACUGUAAAUUGAUGAAGACAGAUCAGUAAGAGGGCACACUAAAGAGAACUGGGAAAAACGGAGAGAUGAAUGAAUCAAGAAGAGUGAGCAAUAUAGGAUGACAGUGGUCAGUUGGGUAAUUCUCACAUCAUAUCCUGUGAAAAUGUGGACCAGAGUUCCCAUCAUGGCACAGCAGAUGAAUCUGAUUAGUAUCCAUGAGGAUGCAGGUUCGAUCCCAGGCCUUACCCAGUGGGUUAAGGAUCUGGCGUUGCCCUGAGCUGUGGUGUAGGUCAGCAGUUAUAACUCCAAUUCGACUCCGGCCUGGGAGGGAACCUCCAUAUGCUGUGGGUACGGCCCUAAAAGACAAAAAAAAGAAAAGAAAAAAAAAAGAAAAGAAAAUGCUGACCGUAGGCAUCAGAAUAAAUCACCACAUCUUUACUAACCUUGAAGUGUUUAUAGGAAAAGAGUUUAGCUUUCUGGAAAUUUGAAAUUGGCUUUCAUGUACAGGAAAGAAGAAAGAAUUUACUUGUAGGAAAUUUAUUUUUGAAAAUCAAGGCAUUGUGUCGUUAAAUACAUCCCAAAGUGGUAGUCUCUGUUUAGAUUGGCCACUUUGUCACUUAGGCUAGAGAGUCUCUUUGAUAUGUAGAAUUCCUGCUAUAUCAAUUGAUCUUUCAGGCUUCUGCAUUUCAUAAUUUUUCAAAGUUAAAAUGUGAAUAUAGGAGCUCCUGUUACAGCUUAGCAGGUUAAGAACCCAACUACUGAGUGAGGCCAGGGAUCGAACCUGUGUCUUCAUGGAUGCUAGUCAGAUUCCUUUCCACUGAGCCAUGAUGGGAACUCCUAGAAUAUUCUCAUAUGUGUGUCCUGGUACAUGUUUCCAAGUGUUUUUCUUGAUUCUAAACAGGGAUAGGGUUUCUGAGCUGUGAGGUACAUGAAAGUUCAGGUUUAACCUGAAGUGAUAUUUAGAAAAUAUCAAAUUAUUUUACCAAAUUGUACCAGUGCAUGAGAUCCUUUUGACUCACAUUCUGUAAGCCUUAGAAUUGUCAGAUUUCUUCGUUUUUGCUAAAUGACAUCUUACUGUUGUCGUGAUUUGCAUUUUCUUGAUUACUUAGCAUGUUCUUGUGUUCUUUGGCCAUAUUUAUUUAUUACUUCUGUGAAAUGCCUCCUUAUGUCUUUUACCCAUUGUUCUAGAGUGUUAUUUUCUCUUUUUGUAUUGAUUUGUAGGAAUUCUUCAUAUAAUCUAGAUAACAAAUCCUUUGUUGAUUAUGUGUGUUGCACAUAUAUUCUCCCAAUUUGUAGCUUGAUUUUUUUUUUUUUUACUUUUCUUAAAAUAUCUUUUUCUUUUUCUCUCUCUCUCUUUUUUUGUUUUUGUUUUUGUUUUUGCCUUUUUAGGACUGUACCCGAGGGAUAUUUAGGUUUCCAGGCUAGGGGUCGAAUCAGAGUUGUAGCCGCUGGCCUGCACCACAGCCACAGCAACUCCAGAUCAGAGCCUCGUCUGUGACCUACCCCACAGCUCACAGCAAUGCUGGAUCCUUAACCCACUGAGUGAGGCCAGGGGUUGGAUUGUGUCCUCAUGGAUAUUAGUGAUUCAUUUCUGCUGAGCCACUACGGGAACUCCUUAAAAUAUCUUUUUCUUAAAAAUUUUAAAAAAUAGUGUUGUAGGGAGUUCCUGUUGUGGCUCAGUGGUUAACGAAUCCACCUAGGAACCAUGAGGUUGCAGGUUCGAUCCCUGGCCUUGCUUAGUGGGUCAAGGAUUCGGCGUUGCCGUGAGCUGUGGUGUAGAUUGCAGACGUGGCUCGGAUCUGGUAUUGCUGUGGCUCUGGCGUAGGCUGGCGGUUACAGCUCCGAUUAGACCCCUAGCCUAGGAACCUCCAUAUGCUGCAGGAGUGGCCCUAGAAAAGGCAAAAAGACAAAAAACGAAAAAACAAAACAAAAAAACCAGUGUUUUAAUGUACAUUCUUAAAAAUUUUUUUUCUUGUUUUUUACGGCCACACCCUUGGCAUAUGGAAGUUCCCAGCUGGAAGCCCAUCCCACAUUCACAGCAACAUAGGAUCUGGGCUGCAUCUGUGACCUACACCAUGCUCACAGCAAUACCACAUCCUUUAACCCACUGAGUGAGGCCAGGGAUCGAACCUGCAUCUUCAUGGAUAAUAUUUGGACUCAUUUCUGCUGUGCCACAACACGAACUCCCAAAUGUUGGUUUUUUUUUUCUUUUUUCAACUGAGGUAUAGUUGAUUUACAGUGUUGUGCAAAUUUCU